rnacentral:rRNA from 1 species
AGUGAACGCUGGCGGUAGGCCUAACACAUGCAAGUCGAACGGCAGCACAGUAAUAGCUUGCUCUUACGGGUGGCGAGUGGCGGACGGGUGAGGAAUACAUCGGAAUCUACUUUUUCGUGGGGGAUAACGUAGGGAAACUUACGCUAAUACCGCAUACGACCUACGGGUGAAAGCAGGGGAUCUUCGGACCUUGCGCGAUUGAAUGAGCCGAUGUCGGAUUAGCUAGUUGGCGGGGUAAAGGCCCACCAAGGCGACGAUCCGUAGCUGGUCUGAGAGGAUGAUGAGCCACACUGGGGCUGAGACACGGUCCAGACUCCUACAGGAGGCAGCAGUGGGGAAUAGUGGACGAUGGGCGCAAGCCUGAUCCAGCCAUACCGCGUGGGUGAAGAAGGCCUUCGGGUUGUAAAGCCCUUUUGUUGGGAAAGAAAAGCAGCAGGUUAAUACCCCGCUGUUCUGACGGUACCCAAAGAAUAAGCACCGGCUAACUUCGUG